rnacentral:piRNA from 1 species
UGAAUUACCAGGGUGCCUUUAAAUAC